CGUAGUUUGUACAAAAAUUAAAAUAAGUUAAUUUUUCGAACGACAAUUGAGAAUCGUUAAUUUAAGUUAUUUUUAACCUUAUUUAUGUAAGGCACAUAGCUAAAAGACUAAAGAACCGAUUUCAACAACAAAAAACUAUGUAAUGUUGCUUAAGUAUCGGUUAUCACAACCAAGACACAUGGAUAUAUCACUACCUACGGACUACUAGUAGGGCGGAGGUUAUCGGAGGUAGUUUGAUUGGACGCCCGAUUGAUUGCUGGCCCUCUGACUCAUUUCUCGCCAGCGUUUGCCCGUUGACUUGCCUGAUGUUAAGCAUCGACACGGUCUAAGAUGUAGCACGCCUAUAAGAAACCUGUUUACUCUGGAUUUGAAGACACCAACAUUGUACCUAUCA